AGGAGCUUACAGGCAGUCAAGGAAACAAUACUAACUAAACCAAAAGAAUUUGUAUGACGAAUUCAAACGCAAGAGCACAAAUAGACUACCAGAGACUUCUCUUCCUAGAAUGAUGAACUUAAAAAUCAAUCGUAAUAUAACAAAUGGACUACAAACAGCCAAAUGUUGUCAGCGGCCUAUCAAACAUGCACAAUGCAACACACGCAUCUUUUUACCAUGCAUUUU
rnacentral:lncRNA from 1 species